UACGAAGGGGGCUAGCGUUGCUCGGAAUCACUGGGCGUAAAGGGUGCGUAGGCGGGUCUUUAAGUCAGGGGUGAAAUCCUGGAGCUCAACUCCAGAACUGCCUUUGAUACUGAGGAUCUUGAGUUCGGGAGAGGUGAGUGGAACUGCGAGUGUAGAGGUGAAAUUCGUAGAUAUUCGGCGGAACACCAGUGGCGAAGGCGAACUCACUGGCCCGAUACUGACGCUGAGGCGCGAAAGCGUGGGGAGCAACAGG
rnacentral:rRNA from 1 species